GGAGAGGUGGCCGAGUGGCUGAAGGCACUCGCCUGCUAAGCGAGUAGGGGGCUUAUAGCUCUCUCGAGGGUUCGAAUCCCUCCCUCUCCG
rnacentral:tRNA from 1 species